rnacentral:rRNA from 1 species
GAUGAACGCUGGCGGUAUGCUUAACACAUGCAAGUCGAACGGUCACUUCGGUGAUAGUGGCGGACGGGUGAGUAACGCGUGAGAAUCUGUCUUCAGGUCGGGGACAACAGUUAGAAAUGACUGCUAAUACCGGAUGUGCCUUUGGGUGAAAGAUUUAUUGCCUGAAAAAGAGCUCGCGUCAGAUUAGCUAGUAGGUGGUGUAAGAGACUACCUAGGCUCCGAUAUGUAGCUGGUCUGAGAGGACGAUCAGCCACACUGGAACUGAGACACGGUCCAGACUCCUACGGGAUGCAGCAGUGGGGAAUAUACCGCAAUGGACAAAAGCCUGACGAGGCAGUACCGCGUGAGGGACGAAUGCUUUUGGGUCGUACACCUCUUUUCUCAAGGCAGAUGAUGACGGUACUUGAGAAAUAAGCUUCGGCUAACUCUGUG